GAUCCUCUCCAAGACGUGACAUCAGCAGAAAGGUGUGCAGAUCUCCAUGCUUCAUGAAAGGUAGAAUGACCAUGGGAACUGGAAGACGCUGAUGGGAUCGUCUGUGCAGGCUCACCCCUAGGGGGAGACAAAGAGUUGCCUACCGAUGAGCUGGAUAACAUUGGGGUGAUUGAAGUCCUUCAUGUAUGCAGCCUCUUUCAAACACUGCUCAAUGUCACUGGAACUGGUGAUGUCAGCUGGAAAACACAGAGAUACACCCAGCCGCCCCCAAGUAAGACACACCUGCUUCUGGCGUCUGAAAAUCAACCCAGCCUGAGAAAGGGGAG